UACGGAGGGUGCAAGCGUUAUCCGGAUUCACUGGGCGUAAAGGGCGCGUAGGCGGCAAUUCAAGUCAGCUGUGAAAUCUCUGGGCUUAACCCAGAACGGCCAGCUGAUACUGCUUUGCUAGAGUGCAGAAGGGGCAAUCGGAAUUCUUGGUGUAGCGGUGAAAUGCGUAGAUAUCAAGAGGAACACCUGAGGUGAAGACGGGUUGCUGGGCUGACACUGACGCUGAGGCGCGAAAGCCAGGGGAGCAAACGGG
rnacentral:rRNA from 1 species